GGAGCAAAGGUGGAGGUGAGGAGUGAUGAAGAAGGUUACCAGGGUUCAUGGUACCCUGCUACGAUUGUGAGACCUCUAGGAAAUAGGAAGUAUUUGCUACAAUACCAGACUCUAGAAACUGAUGAUGAAACUGACCUUCUGACUGAAGAAGUAGAUGCUCUUUUUAUAAGGCCUUCUCCCCCAGUAAUCCAACAAGCUGAUCAAUUCAGGCCACUUGAUGAAGUUGAUGCUUGGCAUAAUGGUGGAUGG
rnacentral:misc_RNA from 1 species